GCGUACGAGAAGUCAAAGAGACGUGGGUUGAGCCUUUUCUCCUUUUUUUUAGGGUUUUCACCCUUAGAUUUAAGUUUGCGUUUAAAAGAGGGAUAAAAAGGGGACAUUUCGGCAUUUUUCGGCCACCAUGGACGGAGGCGCCAUUGCCGGUGGUCGGUGGCAGGGUUCGCCGGAGUUGCGUCUGGUCUAGGGAUAUUGUAAUACCCCAUACCCGUACCUGAGACCGGGAUAGGAUACGAGGCAUUACCGAAAUUUUCAGAAUAAUUUCAAUUAAUUUAUAUUAUUUAGUAUUCAUUUUCAUGUUUCAUGUAACAUCCUUUUCAUAUGUUCAAUUCAAAAUAUCAUAUAAAAUACGAUACAAUACUUAAAUUUUCAUAUUUACAUGCUCAUUCAGGGUAUCCGAACCUACCUGACUAAAUUGCAGAAAUACCAAGAUUUAGGGGCAUAUUGGUAAUUUACCAUUUUCCCAAUUUCACCCAAUCUUAAAUUGAUAAUUUCAUUCAAUUUAUUAAUUUAGAUAAUAAAACAAUUUAUUCCCUUCAAUUUAGUCAUUUUUGACAUUUUUACAAAAUUUCCCCCUAAAGUUUUACUUUUAUUCAAUUUAGUCCAUGAGCUUAAAACAUGCAAAUUAGCCAUGCUAACUGAAUAUUCAUAUAUAUUUUUCCUCCUCCUCCUCUCCAUUCCACAUCCUUAAUGUAUAUAACAUUCUUGUAAGAACGAUUUCACAAUUUACUUAUUAAUACUCACAUCAAUCUGUUCACACGAGUCAUAGUCACUCAAUUAUUUAUAAUUCGAGCUACAGAGCUCAAAAUUAAGAUCUGUAAAUUUUUCCUAAAACUAGACUCACAUAUCAUUCCACCAUAAAAUUUUAAGAAUUUUUGGUUUAUCCAAUUAGUACAGUUUAUUCAUUUAAGUUUCCCCUGUUUCACUAUCCAACAGUUCUGACCUCUCUUCACUAAAAAUUAAUUAUAUCACAGUACAAAACUCGGAUACUAUUUCCAUUGAUUUCUAUUGAAAAUAGACUCAUUAAGGAUUCUAAGCAUAUAAAUUUGAGAUUCUAAUUAAUUUUCUCCAAUUUUUGGUGAUUUUCCAAAGUAAAAACAGGGGAACCCGAAUUCAUUCUAACAUUGUCUCACAAAAUUCAUUAUAUCUCAUAAUUUACAAAUCUAUUGCUUACAUCGUUUCUUCUAUGAAAAACUAGACUCAAUAAGUUUUAAUUUAAUAUUUUAUUCAUCUUCUAAUUCGAUUUAUACAAUUUAUGGUGAUUUUUCAAAGUUAGUCUACUUCUGCUGUCCAAUAUUAUUUUAGUUCAAGAUGUUUAUUACCAUUUUUCCUCUAAAUUUCAAAGGUCAUACAAUUCAGUCCUUGCUUAAUUAGCCCAUCUAUUAAGCUAAUUUUUCUCAAUUAACAUUUUAUUCCAUCAUUCUAAACUAUUACACAAUCUUUGAAAAUCGGAAUUUUAACACUAAACCUUAAUUCACAACUUUUGCACAAUUAGGUCCUAAAAUCAAUAUCUAUUGAAAUUACUUGAUAAAAUCAUCAAACAACAAAAUCAAAGCUUCAAAUUCAUUUUAUUUUAUCAUAAACAGCUAACACUUAUCAAUGAUAUCUUUUAAUUUUGUUCAUAAAAUCAAAAACUAAUGAAUUAAACACUUGGACCUAACUGUAAAAGUAACAAAAGCAUAAAAAUCUCAAAGAAAAAGGUAAGAAUUGAACUCACAUAUGUCAAAGUAUGAAAAACCAGCAGCUUUCAG
rnacentral:lncRNA from 1 species